GCCUGGAGUGGUGGUGCGCUCCUGUAAUCCCAGUGGCUUGGGAGGCUGAGGCAGGAGGUCAUGAGUUCAAAGUCAGCCUCAGCAAAAGCAAAGUGCUAAGCAACUCAGUGAGAUCCUGUCUCUA
rnacentral:sRNA from 1 species